rnacentral:rRNA from 1 species
UACGAAGGGGGCUAGCGUUGCUCGGAAUCACUGGGCGUAAAGGGUGCGUAGGCGGGUCUUUUAAGUCAGGGGUGAAAUCCUGGAGCUCAACUCCAGAACUGCCUUUGAUACUGAAGAUCUUGAGUUCGGGAGAGGUGAGUGGAACUGCGAGUGUAGAGGUGAAAUUCGUAGAUAUUCGCAAGAACACCCGUGGCUAAGGCGGCUCUCUAGUACGGUACUGACGCUGAGACGCGAAAGCGUGGGGAGCGAACAGG